UACGAAGGUCCCUAGCGUUGUCCGGAAUCAUUGGGCGUAAAGGGCGCGUAGGUGGCCAUGUAAGUCAGAUGUGAAAUCCCUGGGCUCAACCCAGGAAGUGCAUCUGAUACUGCGUGGCUUGAGUUCCGGAGAGGAUGGUGGAAUUCCCAGUGUAGAGGUGAAAUUCGUAGAUAUUGGGAGGAACACCGGUGGCGAAGGCGGGUCUCUGGGCAUCUCCUGACGCUGAGGCGCGAAAGCGUGGGGAGCAAACGGG
rnacentral:rRNA from 1 species